CCUGCGGCUUAAUUUGACUCAACACGGGGAAACUCACCCGGUCCGGACACUGGAAGGAUUGACAGAUUAAAAGCUCUUUCUUGAUUCAGUGGGUGGUGGUGCAUGGCCGUUCUUAGUUGGUGGAGUGAUUUGUCUGGUUAAUUCCGAUAACGAACGAGACUCUAGCCUGCUAACUAGUUCGCCGGCAGCUCUUGUCGCGCGGCGCCGCUUCGGCGGCAAACUUCUUAGAGGGACAGGUGGCGUUUAGCCACACGAAGUAGAGCAAUAACAGGUCUGUGAUGCCCUUAGAUGUCCGGGGCCGCACGCGCGCUACACUGAAAGAAUCAACGUGGAUGCCCACCUGCUCCGAGAGGAGUGGGAAACCCGAUGAAUCUCUUUCGUGAUGGGGAUUGGGGCUUGUAAUUGUUCCCCAUGAACGAGGAAUUCCCAGUAAGCGUCAGUCAUCAGCUGGCGCUGAUUACGUCCCUGCCCUUUGUACACACCGCCCGUCGCUACUACCGAUUGAAUGGUUUAGUGAGACCCUCGGACUGGAGUCCGUCCGCCGCUUUCGGGUGGUGGAUGGGGACGGAAAGACGGUCGAACUUGAUCAUUUAGAGGAAGUAA
rnacentral:rRNA from 1 species